GUCGCACGCCUCGCCCCGUCCCGUCGGAAUGAUGAGAGCUUCCUGGUUCUCGUCUCUAGCCGGAGCUGGCGUGCUGACUCCUGGAGUUGGUAUGUCAGUCCUGGUCAGAUCCAUUCCAGGCUUCAGUGCAAGCAUGGCAAGAAAAUCGCUGGCCAUUGAAUGAAGGAUGAAACGGGCGUCCACCGGGAGAGCUGACGAGCGGAGCAGGAGGCGUGUGUACUGCUUGUCAGAGGUCAUUUCCGGCUGUAGAUUAGCCCUCAUUGUAAAAAGCAUGUUUCUUUUCUUAGGCAGAGAGAGGCCCAUGUGGUGACCCCUAACCAGAUAAAAAAAGGAGGCCCAGGCCUAAGGAGACAAAAAAGGGGGGGGGGAGGUGAGAGGCUGGCCACUUGAUCGGAGAGCCUGAACUCUCUCUCGCUCUCGAGCUCUCUGGCUCUGGAGCUCUCUGUUUUCCUUCACACACAGAUCCACCAGAACACAGGAGUAGGGUAUUACGCUUCUCAGUGGCCCGAACCUGUCUACGUGGCCCGUGUCUUGUGCGCUUCUUCUCGCUGACAUUCCUCAGAUCGAGGGCGAAGAACCUCACUUAGCGCCCCCGGCCGAACCGGCAAAGGGGGGCCUGCGCGGUCUCCCGGUGAGGAGCCCCACGCUCCGUCAACGAUUUACUCCUAUCGCACGCCUCAACCACCCACCUUUAUUCGAGUAAACGAUUUACUUUGAUAAUAAAAACAACUCCCCUGCUUCUGAUCCCACCCCACGUCCCGCAUCGUGCUCCGACCAUUAUUGGAGUAAAUGAUUUACUUCGAUAAAAACAACUUUUCUGUUUUCGGUAUAUAUUCUAUUUUUCCCGUACCCAACCAACCACUCUCGCCUCACUUCCUUUUUUUUCUCUUUUUUUUGGAUCUAAAUCGAUCCACCAUCCCACCCCACAGAUCGGCGACACACCAUGGAGGAGGACGAUGACACCGUGGCGGUUGAUGGCGGUGGCCGGUGAGCGAUGGCCGGCGGCGGUUGAGGCGAAGGCACUGCUUCGGGCCUCGUUGCCGGACGUUGGGCAGCACCUUAACCAGCAAUAAGGUAUUCACCUGGGCCAAUAGCAACAACCAGCGGCUACUCCACCACGUCGGCGGCAUUGAUAGAAUAAGCAAGUCCUACAUUUGCACAUCGUGCUCCAUGUGGCUGGCCGUAGAGGAUAGGGUGGAGUCCGUCGGUGAUGUAGAUGAUGGAUGGCUGCGCAACGUCGGGCUCAUCUCUAUACCAUACCGCUACAUCCUUCUAUUAUUCCAUCGUCGACUACUACUCGCUCCCUGGUUGCCCUCUCCACUACCAGUCUGUGUUACCAGUCAGAAGACACAGACUGUUCUCUUCAUCCUUAUAGCAAGAUCCAGCAAAGCCACCAGAUGGAUUUUUAGCUGAAUCAUUUUUUUUCAUUUCUAGUUUGAUUCACCUGUGAGUAAUUUUAUCGCUUGUGUGUGAUUGAGCCUGUAAUUUUUUCACUUGUAUGACUAUUUUAUGAUACAGAUCAACAAUACUCUUAGUAUCAAUUUUUUACUCUUAUACUGUACAUUGAACAUAUCAGUAAACAUAUUACUA